rnacentral:rRNA from 1 species
CGUGCCAGCAGCCGCGGUAAUACGGAAUCCACGAGCAUUAUUCGAUAUUAAUUGGCGUAAAGGGUCCGUAGGCUGUCAAUAAAGCUAAAUGUGAAAUGCCAGAGCUUAACUUUGGAACGUCGUUUAGAACUAAUUGACUUGAGAGAUAAAGAGGAUAAUGGAAUUUUUAAUGGAGAGAUAAAAUGCUAAGAUAUUAAAAGGAACAUCAAAGGCGAAAGCAAUUAUCUGGUUAUUUUCUGACGCUGAGGGACGAAAGCGUAGGUAGCGAAUAGGAUUAGAUACCCUAGUAGUCUACGCCGUGACCGAUGAGUGCUAAACGUUAAAUUUUUUUAUUUACCUAUUUAAAAAAAAAUUAUAGUGUUACAGCUAACGCAUUAAGCACUCCGCCUGAGGAGUACGGUCGCAAGACUAAAACUCAAAGGAAUAGACGGGAGCCUACACAAGCGGUGGAGCAUGCGGUUUAAUGCGAUGAUACGCGCGAAACCUUACCAAUUCUUGCAUAUUUCUGUUGAAUUUAUAAUGUCAUGUUAUAAAAGAGGUUAUACAGGUGUUGCAUGGUUGUCGUCAGUUCGUGUUUUGAAAUGUUUGGUUAAGUCCUGUAACGAACGCAACUCUUAUUUCUAGUUAUUUAUAUACGUAAUUAUUUCUGUUUUAUAAAUACGUAUCUAUGUUUUAGGAAAACUGCCUGUGACAAACAGGAGGAAGGUGAGAAUGACGUCAAAUCUUCAUGGCCCUUAUGAAUUGGGCUACUCGUGUGCUACAAUGGCAAUCACAAUAAGAAGCGACGAUGUAAAUCGGAGCGAAUCUCUAAAGGUUGUCUCAGUUCGAAUUAUAGACUGCAACUCGUCUAUAUGAAGUUGGAAUCGCUAGUAAUCGCAGAUCAGUACGCUGCGGUGAAUUUGUACCUAGGCUUUGUACUCACCGCCCGUC